CCGUUUGUUCUGCAAAAACCUCAAACCAGCCCUGACAUGCGGAGCCCGUUAUAGCCGCCGACAGACAAGGAGCUGCUGUUCAGUCCGCCGGCCGCAGCUCACAGCGAGGCCUCAUCCCCCUCCUCUCCUUUCCCCUCCUUGUGGGGUAGGAGGCGACUCAACCCCUCACCCUGCCUCUGGCACAUCUGGACGCUUCUUCAGGGUGACAAUGGGCCCCCUGGAAAAGCUGGCCCUCCGGGACCCAAGGGCGAGCCUGGCAAAGCUGGGCCAGAUGGGCCAGACGGGAAGCCCGGGAUUGAUGGUUUAACUGGAGCCAAGGGGGAGCCUGGCCCCAUGGGGAUCCCUGGAGUCAAGGGCCAGCCCGGGCUUCCUGGUCCUCCUGGCCUUCCGGGCCCUGGUUUUGCUGGACCUCCUGGGCCUCCUGGACCUGUUGGCCUCCCUGGUGAGAUUGGAAUCCGAGGCCCCAAGGGGGACCCUGGACCAGAUGGACCAUCGGGGCCCCCAGGACCCCCUGGGAAACCUGGUCGCCCGGGAACCAUCCAGGGUCUGGAAGGCAGUGCGGAUUUCCUGUGUCCAACCAACUGUCCACCCGGAAUGAAAGGUCCCCCAGGGCUGCAGGGAGUGAAGGGGCAUGCGGGCAAACGCGGGAUUCUGGGUGAUCCUGGCCACCAGGGGAAGCCGGGUCCCAAGGGAGAUGUGGGUGCCUCUGGAGAGCAAGGCAUCCCUGGACCACCGGGUCCCCAGGGCAUCAGGGGCUACCCAGGCAUGGCAGGGCCCAAGGGAGAGACGGGCCCUCAUGGAUAUAAAGGCAUGGUGGGCGCUAUCGGUGCCACUGGGCCACCGGGUGAGGAAGGUCCUAGGGGACCGCCAGGCCGAGCUGGGGAGAAGGGUGACGAGGGCAGCCCAGGUAUUCGUGGACCCCAGGGGAUCACAGGCCCGAAAGGAGCAACGGGCCCCCCAGGCAUCAACGGCAAGGAUGGGACCCCAGGCACGCCUGGCAUGAAG
rnacentral:lncRNA from 1 species